UUUUAUUAAGCUAAGAUAACGGCGGACUAUAUGGUCACGUUUUUCCGAUUUUUAGGUUUUAAGACAUUUUAGUUACGAAGUAGAAGCAAUGAAAUCCAAUUAUAGGCUUUUAUUCGUCGCUAGAUGGCGUUUGAAUUGACAAAAAAAUUUGCCACGCAAAGUGACCAUAGUAACCACGGGUGACAGGCUGACAGCUAUGAGAGAAAAGAGUUUUGUAUGUACCUGUAACGUGUUUUUAUGAAAAUUUAUCAAUGAUACUAGUCUUCUCCCGUCCUCGAGACGUUGAAGUACUCUAAACCCAAACUGAAUAAAAAAAAAAAAAAAGAAAAAAACAGUGCUUAAGUGAUUGCCAGGCAAUCCCGUAUACUAAAGCAGCUGCUCUACUAUUCGCACGUUAAACAUAUACCUACCUACCUACCUUAUCAAUGAUACGGUCUGUUGAUUGGAAGGGGAAAGGUUUUGUAAACAGUUCGUCUUAUGCCCACAUUUGAAGAAUUGACAAUGGAUAUCAUUCUGUGUGUCAGUCUGUGUGUCAAUAAUCUUGAUAUUACAGAAGAAUUGUGGAAUGGUUUAUUUAAAAAAGUGCUACAGAAUCAAAUAUCAAAAGCAACAGUAAUGUGACAGCCAAGUUAGUGGAUGUAGCUGAGCUAGAGCUACUAAAAGAAGAAAACAGAAGACUGUAAAAUAAAUCAUAUAAAAAAUGGGGAAACCACCAUAUUGUGAACGGAUCUCCAAACUGUUUGAGCGGUUAUGGGGAAAAGAGAGAUUGAAGUGUGUCAGCGGCUAGCCUUAAAAGAAAAAUUAUUUCAAAUGGAUACACAGUAUUCAAAACAGCUGGAAGCAUUAAGACAGAAAUGAAGUUCAAGAUUUUUUUUCUUUUCAUUUUCACCAAUAUUAUUUAGUCUGUGUAGGCAUUAUAUACUUAUUUCAUAUGUGCAUAUUUUUUGGAAAUUGUUAAAAUUUUUCAGGAACUAGAUUUCGGGAAAUUUCUUAACAAGUGCAAGAAGAUUGAACAAAAUGCUAAAGCGCAACAAAACAAUAAAAGACUUCCAACCUCCACCCACAAAGAUGUUAAAGGUAUUUGACAUUAAUAAAGUUACUUUUUUGGUAUUCUUAUAUUUGCAGGAAAAACCUAAAGUUGGAGGACAAUAGAUUUGUUUCCCCUUACUAGUUUUGUAAAACAAAUGUGGAGAUUGAUUCCAAAUCUUCAGCUUCCCAGGCAGACACCGAUCCACAAAGCCAUGGGUGAUAGAUGAUAUUCACAGCAGGCACAACUGUGUUGUAAAUUGGUAUCACUUUUACAAAGCCAAAAAGGUUAAUAAUCAUACUGAAUCAAAAGAGGCAUCAAGUGAAACAAGAUUUUAAAAUGAUAACAGUUGGAAGCGCAUGUGGAAAUUUCGAAGAACGCUACCUAAACGUUACCUUGAGUCGCUGAUUCAUCUUGAAGAAAAAAUAAGUUAUUUUUAUAAAUUGAAGUGCAUAUCUGGGCUCCCUUCUUUUCUGUGGCCCCGUUUCCCCUUGACUUAUGAUAAGCCCGUAGGGGGUCAUGCCCCUACUGUGAUCAG
rnacentral:lncRNA from 1 species